rnacentral:rRNA from 1 species
GACAGAGGGGGCAAGCGUUGCUCGGAAUUACUGGGCGUAAAGGGCGCGUAGGCGGGCUGGCAAGUCGGUCGUGAAAUCCCUCGGCUCAACUGAGGAGCGUCGAUCGAAACUGCCGUUCUUGAGGGUUGCAGAGGAGACUGGAAUUCCCGGUGUAGCGGUGAAAUGUGUAGAGAUCGGGAGGAACACCGGUGGCGAAGGCGGGUCUCUGGGCAACUCCUGACGCUGAGGCGCGAAAGCGUGGGGAGCAAACGGG